GGGGGAUAAGCGGAAGAAAUUCCGUCUAAUACCGCGUAACAACCCAUGGAGGCAUCUCUGUGGGUUUAAAGGAAGCGAUUCCGGCUACGGAUGGUCAUGCGUCGCAUUAGCUUGUUGGCGGGGUAACGGCCCACCAAGGCGACGAUGCGUAGGGGUUCUGAGAGGAAGGUCCCCCACACUGGUACUGAGACACGGACCAGACUCCUACGGGAGGCAGCAGUGAGGAAUAUUGGUCAAUGGCCGCAGGGCUGAACCAGCCAAGUCGCGUGAGGGAUGACGGUCCUAUGGAUUGUAAACCUCUUUUGUCAGGGAGCAAAGGGCGCCACGUGUGGCGCUUUGCGAGUACCUGAAGAAAAAGCAUCGGCUAACUCCGUGCCAGCAGCCGCGGUAAUACGGAGGAUGCGAGCGUUAUCCGGAUUUAUUGGGUUUAAAGGGUGCGCAGGCGGAAUGUCAAGUCAGCGGUAAAAUUUCGGGGCUCAACCCCGUCGUGCCGUUGAAACUGGCGUUCUUGAGUGAGCGAGAAGUAUGCGGAAUGCGUGGUGUAGCGGUGAAAUGCAUAGAUAUCACGCAGAACUCCGAUUGCGAAGGCAGCAUACCGGCGCUCAACUGACGCUCAUGCACGAAAGCGUGGGUAUCGAACAGGAUUAGAUAUCCUGGUAGUCCACGCAGUAAAC
rnacentral:rRNA from 1 species